UACGGGGGGGGCAAGCGUUGUUCGGAAUUACUGGGCGUAAAGGGUUCGUAGGUGGCCGACUAAGUCAAACGUGAAAUCCCUCAGCUUAACUGGGGAACUGCGUCUGAUACUGGUCGGCUUGAGUGCAGGAGAGGAACGCGGAAUUCCAGGUGUAGCGGUGAAAUGCGUAGAUAUCGGGAGGAACACCAGUGGCGAAGGCGGCUUCCUGGCCUGUUCUUGACGCUGAGGCGCGAAAGCU
rnacentral:rRNA from 1 species